AGUUCCCUGGCGAUUAAUGCUUUUCAGUGCUAUGCCCGUUUCACAUAUGGAUACAAAUGAAUGACUCCAUUCUUGCAGAGGAAUUAUGUCUCCUCUGUGGUACCUUGUCUAAAUCAAGCAUUUCCCAGGCUAUUAGACACUCGAUUUUUUGAUUGGCUGACAUGGAGCGGGAUAGGAAAAGAAAAGGAUGAUGAUGGAGUAGCCGCCACAUUUCCAUUCCUCCCCCUCCCCAGCCAGAGAGGGGGUAGGAAGGAGGAGGGAGAUUUCCGCUCUUCCUGCUCAUUGUCUCACCUCCCUCUCUCCCUCCCUCCCUCCCUCCCUUGCUGCAGCAUCAGUGCCUCCAGCUCCCGGGCUUCCCAGAAGCCUGAGCAUCCACCAUGCUGGAUAUUUUCAUUCUGAUGUUCUUCGCUAUUAUAGGCCUGGUCGUCCUGUCCUAUAUCAUCUAUCUGCUCUAGCAUCCUAGGAGCCCUCUUGGUGGGGAGAAGGGCUUUGUGAAGGAGAAGGAUGGAACCCAGAGGCCGAGCAACCUGCCUGCCCACUUCCAAGUGGACUUGUGCUUCUGAUCAUCAGAUCAUCACUUCGGCUCCUGGUCCCCCAGUUCAACAAGAGACUUCUUAUCUUCCCCAGCAGCCACAGAUUUCUGCCCUAGCAGGAUCUUUCUCUGCGCCUUCUGGAGACUGUUAACCCUUGGCAAGCAAAUGGCAUUUUGAAAUGGAAGCCAGAGGCAGGCUGAGAAGCAGCUGCAUCUCAGCAUGUCCAGCACAAUUCAUGGAUGGUGCUGGCAGGCUCUGCAGGCCACAGUGAGUUCAAGUGGCAGAAGAAAAGCCGUGAGAAGAGAGUUGGAAUGUGAAAUCAUCCAAAUCCCCAUGAAGGGCUGCUAAAAGUUAAGAUACGAGACAGCCUUUUGCUGGUUCUGUGUGCAAGUGAAUCUUACUAUACAGUUUCUCAUGUGUCCGUUCCUCCUUAAGAUUUCCUACAUGCAAGGCUUUGCCAUAUAAAUUCAAGGACAAUUGGUAUGUCUCCAUAUAUGGACUAAAUGUUAUUGCAAGGGAAUAGGAUCCAUUUUUCACUCCAUCUUUGAAACUUGGCGAACUCAUUUUUAGAAUUAGUUUGCUCUCUUUAGGCCACAGAAAUUUAUCCUUUCAGCUAUUAUUGCUGCUUUAUCAUCCCUUCCUCCAGCCCCAGCUUCUCAUUAUAUGUGGGAAAAUUGUAGUAUGUAAAUCCUCAUUCUUUGUGCCAGAUGAAUUGAAGAAUUGGAAUUGUAAAUCACAAAUAAGAUGGCCACCAUCUGCACCUUCAGUCUAGAGAAGGGGGUUUGUUGUGAAAUCUCUGUAUAUUUGUACCCCAAAUUUGAAUAUUGUAGAGAUAGUUGCACCCUUCAACAAAAAGGCAUUUUCUUUGUCUUUGUAUGAUCAACUCCCAUCAGUUCCAUCCAAACAGGGUUGAAGAAAGCUUUCACCAUCUCUAGGGGGCAGGUUAGCCUCAGAAUUUAAAAGAUGAGGCUGGGGUGACUGAAAAGGCCACACAGCAUUGGUUGGUUUAGCUUUGGGAAUAUCUUUUCCAUGUCCUAAAAUCUAUUUGAAAAAGAAAUCAACAAAAAAUUAACAACUUUUAUUAUGGACUCAACACAAAUUAAAACACUUGUGCUGUGUUUUCAUUUUUUUUUUUUUUUUUUUUUUAGUUAUUUUGAAAAGGAAAAGCUUAUGUUCUAUAAGCUGAUGUAGGAAGGAAAAUCAGGUCAGGUCAGGAUUCUAUACAUAGAGACAAUUUGUUCACUAAUUAGCUAUAUGACCUUGAGCAUGUCAAAUCUCUUCUCCAGCCCUCAGUGUUCUCAUUUGUCAAAGGAAGGAAGUGAAAUAAGUUGUCCCCCAAAUGCCUUCCAGUUUUAAAAUUCUAUGACUUGGACUUCACACACAAAAUAGGUGAUAUGUAUAAAGACCAGGACUUUGGAGCAAACUCUUCAGAAUUAAGCAAUAAUCUCUUCUUUUCCCAGAAAUCAAGUUUUGUAAUGAAAACCCUGAUGCAAUAUAAACUAUUGUAGCAUAACUAGUCAAAUAAAGAAAAAAAUAAUGGUGUUUUAUUUUUACCACUUGUGAGUUUAAAGCUUUAUUGUAUGAUGAUAUUUGGCAGUGACAACUUGAAAGAUACAUUAAGCCAAGAGGAGAAUUUUGGGAAAAUUUUUUCUUUAAAUUCUGGAACAUUUGAGGAUAUCAGCAUAAUUUUUAGUGCAUUGUUUCUUAUUUGUUAUUCUUCUAUAAAAAAGAUCUAUGGCAUAUGUCUCUAUGGCACAUGUAUGAAUUCUAUCCUGAAAUCUUCCAUUUUAGGCCAAAGUGUCAAGUCUAUGCUGUUAUAGAUAACUCAGACAAAAUUGGCAAUUUAGGGGGAAACCUAUCUAUGUCAUUAAUAUACGUCUUCACUGAAAAAGUUCAUUCACCCUUCUUUAAUAAAAACAAAAAAACCUUUUAUUUUUACAAACUUGACAAACAUGAAGAAAUAUGAUCAUUUCCACAUACAAACAUCAGAAAAAGAAUAUUCUAUAAGAAACUACAAAUCUAUUAUAUACAGCUUGUUUCUUUUUAAAGUAUAUAAUAAAUUUAAUACUGUAGUUCCAAAACUAUCCUGUUUCUGUGUUUCUCUGAACUUACUUUUGUUCUCUUCUGUAAAUGUUAAAAAUGUUUCUUUAACACACUUUAUUUCCAUUUCUUCCCCUUUUUUCCCCCCGUGCAUUACUAUUACUAGCCUUCCUUUUCCUUCAUAACUUUCCUGGCAGAGGGGAGUGAAGGGGUAGAGUGGAGGAAAAAUCCUGCCUUUGAGACAAAUAAGUACACAUAAAAGAAACACACACAUUGGCCAUGUUUGAAAAAUGUUAAGUCUCACUUUGUACCGCUAAUCUAUCAUCUCUCUACCAGUAGGUAGGAAAUAUGAUUCUUUAUCAUCUUCUGGAGUUAUUGUAAAUUGUUGUAUUGAUCAGAUUUCUUAUGUCUUCUACACUUGGUUUUCUUUAUUUUAUUAUAUGAAUUGUUCUGUUUUUUUCUCACUUUGAUCUCUGUUACUACUGAAUCCAUUUCUUUCAUUGUUCUUAUGGUGUGAUAAUAUUCCAUUCCAUUCAUUUACAUUCUUUUGUUCAAUCCUUUCACAGUUGAUGGAUACUUCCUGUAGGGGAUAAAAUGCCAGGUGUGAAGUCAGGAAGACCUGGAUUCAAAUGUGAUUAGAUGUUUAGUAGCUGUGUGACUUAAACCUCUUAAACCUCUGACUCAGUUUUCUUUAUAAUAAAAAAGAGAUCAUAACAGCACCUACCUCCUAGGAUUGUUUUGAGAAUGAAAUGAGAUAGUAUUUGUAAAGCACUUAGCAUAGUAACUGGCACAUAGUAGGUGCUUGAUAAAUGCAUAUUUCCUUCCUUUUUUCCUUCCCUCUCUUCCUCUCUUACUCUCUUCUCCUUCUUUCUUUCUUCUUUUCUUCCUCCCUUCCUUCAUUCUCCUCUGUUUCUAGUUCUUUGCUAUAACAAAAAGAAAUGCUAUACAUUUUUUUCCCCCUCACACAUAUAGGUCUUAUUCCUCUCUCUUCCAUCUCUUUGGGACCAAGGCUUAGUAGUAAAAUCAAUGGAUUUGAAGUGUCAGCACUGCUUAGUGAUUUUCUGGGAAUGGCUCCAGACUGUUUUCCAGAUAGGACCUGAACAAUUUAUAGUACCAAUAACAGUACAUUAGUGUGCCUAUCUUCCUAUAAUUGUCAUUUCCCUCUUUGUUAUCUUUGCUGGUAUGAUGGGAGUGAGGUGAAACCUCAGAGCUGUUUUGAUUUGCAUUUCUUUUUUUUUAGUGAUUUGGAACAUUUUUUCAUAUGGUUUUUGAUAGCUUAGAUUUCUUCCCUUGCCUAUUCGGAUCUUGAGAUGACUUAUUUAUUGGGGAAUAGCUCUUGUUCUCAUUUAUUUGAUUUAAUUCCCCUUAUGUCUUGAAUAUCAGACCUUUUUCUGAGAAAAUUGCUGAAAGAUUUGUUCCCCAGUUAACUCAUUCCUUUCUCAUGUCAUUGGUUUUGAUUUUGUUUAAAAACUUUUCAAUUUUAUAUAAUAAAAAUUGACUAUUUUAA